rnacentral:rRNA from 1 species
UACGUAGGUGGCAAGCGUUGUCCGGAAUUACUGGGUGUAAAGCGCGUGUAGGCGGCAGACCAAGUCGGCGGUGAAAGCGCCCGGCUCAACUGGGCGAGGUCCGUGGAAACUGGUCAGCUGGAGGACGGUAGAGGCGAGUGGAAUUCCCGGUGUAGUGGUGAAAUGCGUAGAGAUCGGGAGGAACACCUGUGGCGAAGGCGGCUCGCUGGGCCGGUCCUGACGCUGAGGCGCGAAAGCUAGGGGAGCAAACAGG